rnacentral:rRNA from 1 species
AUUGAACGUUGGCGGCGUGGAUUAGGCAUGCAAGUCGAGCGAGAACCGUAGCAAUACGGGGACAGCGGCGAAAGAGACAGUAAUGUGUAGGUACCUACCCCGAGGUCUGGGAUAGCUGCGGGAAACUGCAGGUAAUACCGGAUAAUGUCUUCGGACCAAAGGUGUGAUUCCACCUUGGGAGGGGCCUGCAUCCUAUUAGCUAGUUGGCGGGGUAAUGGCCCACCAAGGCAACGAUGGGUAGCGGGUGUGAGAGCACGACCCGCGUCAUUGGGACUGAGAUACUGCCCAGACACCUACGGGUGGCUGCAGUCGGGGAUCUUCGGCAAUGGGCGAAAGCCUGACCGAGCGACGCCGCGUGCGGGAUGAAGGCCUUCGGGUUGUAAACCGCUGUCGUAGAGGAGGAAAUGCAGGGGGGUUCUCCCUUCUGUUUGACCUAUUCUAGGAGGAAGGACGGGCUAAGUUCGUGCCAGCAGCCGCGGUAA